CAGCCGCCGCGGUAAUACGUAGGGUGCGAGCGUUAAUCGGAAUUACUGGGCGUAAAGCGCACGUAGGCGGAUAUUUAAGUCAGGGGUGAAAUCCCAGAGCUCAACUCUGGAACUGCCUUUGAUACUGGGUAUCUUGAGUAUGGAAGAGGUGAGUGGAAUUCCGAGUGUAGAGGUGAAAUUCGUAGAUAUUCGGAGGAACACCAGUGGCGAAGGCGGCCCACUGGUCCAUUACUGACGCUGAGGUGCGAAAGCGUGGGGAGCAAACAGGAUUAGAUACCGAGUAGUCCCUGUCUCUUAUACA
rnacentral:rRNA from 1 species